rnacentral:rRNA from 1 species
CCUACGGGAGGCAGCAGUGAGGAAUAUUGGUCAAUGGACGAGAGUCUGAACCAGCCAAGUAGCGUGAAGGAUGACUGCCCUAUGGGUUGUAAACUUCUUUUAUAUGGGAAUAAAAUGUUCCACGUGUGGGAUUUUGUAUGUACCAUAUGAAUAAGGAUCGGCUAACUCCGUGCCAGCAGCCGCGGUAAUACGGAGGAUCCGAGCGUUAUCCGGAUUUAUUGGGUUUAAAGGGAGCGUAGGGGGAUUGUUAAGUCAGUUGUGAAAGUUUGCGGCUCAACCGUAAAAUUGCAGUUGAAACUGGCAGUCUUGAGUACAGUAGAGGUGGGCGGAAUUCGUGGUGUAGCGGUGAAAUGCUUAGAUAUCACGAAGAACUCCGAUUGCGAAGGCAGUUCACUGGACUGCAACUGACACUGAGGCUCGAAAGUGUGGGUAUCAAACAGGAGUAGAUACCCCUGUAGUC